rnacentral:rRNA from 1 species
GAUGAACGCUGGCGGCGUGCCUAAUACAUGCAAGUCGAACGCUGAAGGAGGAGCUUGCUCUGCUGGAUGAGUUGCGAACGGGUGAGUAACGCGUAGGUAACCUGCCCGGUAGCGGGGGAUAACUAUAGGAAACGAUAGCUAAUACCGCAUGACAACAGCUAUUGCAUGAUAACGGUUGGAAAGGGGCAACUGCUCCACUACCAGAUGGACCUGCGCUGUAUUAGCUAGUUGGUGAGGUAACGGCUCACCAAGGCGAGGAUACAUAGCCGACCGGAGAGGGGGGGCGGCCGCCCUGGGACUGUGACACGGCCCAGACGCCCUCGGGAAGCAGCAGUAGGGCAACGGCGGCCAGGGGCGGAAGACUGUGCGCGCAACGCCGCGGCAGGGUAGAAGGUUGUCGGGUCGUAAAGGUCUGUUGUAGGGGAAGAACGAGCGUGAGAGUGGAAAGUUCACUCUGUGACGGUAACUGAUCAGAAAGGGACGGCUAACUACGUG